GAUGAAGAACGUAGCGAAAUGCGAUAAGUAAUGUGAAUUGCAGAAUUCAGUGAAUCAUCGAAUCUUUGAACGCACAUUGCGCCCGCCAGUAUUCUGGCGGGCAUGCCUGUCUGAGCGUCAUUUCAACCCUCAUGCCCCUAGGGCGUGGUGUUGGGGAUCGGCCAAAGCCCGCGAGGGACGGCCGGCCCCUAAAUCUAGUGGCGGACCCGUCGUGGCCUCCUCUGCGAAGUAGUGAUAUUCCGCAUCGGAGAGCGAUGAGCCCCUGCCGUUAAACCCCCAACUUUCCAAGGUUGACCUCAGAUCAGGUAGGAAUACCCGCUGAACUUAAGCAUAUCAAAAGCGGAGG
rnacentral:misc_RNA from 1 species